UGUAAAAGGCAGGGCACAGCUGCUGUUCAAAAACUUUUGAAACGCUGUGUGUCCAACAAAAUUUAUUGUUUGUGUGAAUGCAAGUUUUUAUUGAGGUGCUGUUUUUCAACCCUAAACUUUUGACCAAGAAUGAAACUCUUUAAAAAUUAAGAUGCCAACAGAUCACGAAGAGCCCUGUGGUCCCAGUCACAGGUCAUUUUGCCUGAAUGGAGGGAUUUGUUAUGUGAUACCUACUAUUCCCAGCCCCUUUUGUAGGUGAGUGAAGUGAACUGGGGGAGAGGGUAAUUUUAUUUCUUAUCCUCUAUUAACUUCUUUGAGAAGUGAUAAAUAUUGAACAAAGACGGUAAGACGAAAAAGUGUGAGGAACACUUCAUGUUUAUAUAGAACAAAAUUAUGAUUUUAUUUUUUUAUUUAUUAAUUUUUAUGGCCACACCCACAGCAUAUGGAUAUUCCUGGGCCAGGAGUUGAAUCUGAGCUGCAGCGCCAGCCACAGCUGCAGCAAUGCUGGAUCCUUUAACCCACUGCCCUGGGCUGGGGAUCGAACUCGCUCCUCUGCAGCAAUCCAAGCUGCUGUAAUCAGAUUUGUAAGCCACUGCACCACAGAGGGAACUCCCAAAAUUAUGGUUUUAAAAUGAAAACAAAGCAAAGUGACAAAUCGCAAUCUCAGUGUUUAUUUUGAAAAUUGGUAGUAGUAGUUCCGAGCCUAGUUAGAUUUUUUUUAAUUAUUAUUAAAUUUUAAUGAUUAUCAUUUUAGUGAACUCUAUGAUUUUAGCAAUUUAGGGAAGAUGGUCUAUACUUAAUAUUACUGUCAAAACAGCUAGAAAAUUCACUAAUGUGAGAAAGCCCAACAUGAGAUAUUUUGCUUUGAAUUUAGAACAUAUAAAUGCAUGAUAACCAUGUUGGUACCAAACAUCAUUUGAUAUAUUAAAAAGAAAAUGAAGAGUUAAGUUUUUCUAGUGGUGGCAGCAAAUUAAAAAAGGAGGAUGUCAUAGCCACUGUUGUUUUAAAAUGUAUGAUUUACUUUGGGAGUAUAAUUACAACCAGUGAUCAGUAAAAGUCUCGAAAAUAGUUUUUGUACAGCUGACUUCUUGUGAGUUUGAUUGAAUAGGAUAUAAGGGGUUACAGUAAACCUCUCUUAAUAUAUGAAUUAGCAAUGUAGUGCUAACAAUGAUGUCCAUAGAUUUCAGCAGAGCUAACAUCUAAAGACUUCAAGAUAUUGUGUAGCAUGUGUGUUAAUUACUCUGUUUUUGCUAUUUAAAUGAAAUGAGAAGUAUAUAAUCUAGAUUUAAGAUCUCACUAAAUAAGGGGAUAGGAAAGUAAAAUUCAUAGGAAAAGUGAAAGAUAUUGGGAUUUGGUGUGGAGGACAGGCAGAGAAAUAACCUUAUAAUUAUCAAGAAGUUUUUAGAAGUUUUCAUGGAGGGAAUAGUGAGUGACUAAGUAUUUUUCCUCUCAAGUGAAAAAGAAAAGGGAUAGAGCAAGAGAUUAACAAUUAUUUUUCACCCACCAGGUGCUUCUACAUUAUUUUAAAAUUUAAUCCAUUUAUUAAGAUAUUUAUAUAUGAUAAAUUACAUUCAAAGUGCACAAUUGAUGAAUUUUGACAAAUAUUUAUACCUGUGAAACCACCGCCACCACAAAAUACAAAACAUUUCCAUUUCCCUCCCCCAGUUUCUUUACUAACUAUAUUCUUUAUUUACAUUUUCAUAUUUCAUUCUCACAAAAACCUUAGAGAAAAGGGGGAGAGGAGACCAAGGAAAUAGAAAAAUAAGGGGAAAAUGAAAAAUUAACUGACUUGCCAAAAGUCAUACAAC
ensembl:lncRNA